rnacentral:lncRNA from 1 species
CAAGAGUAGAUGAACAAUUUGGUGAAAACAGUUUGCUAAAAUCUUUAGGUUUUAGAGAUAUAGCGAUAACAAGAAAAAGGGGAGGCGGGGAGAUAACUCCUAUAAGAAUAAGUGUUCCGAAGUCAAAAUAAACCAAAUCAUUCUCAAGAGUAGAUGAACAAUUUGGUGAAACAGUUUGCUAAAUCUUUACGGUUUUAGAGAUAUAGCGAUAACAAGAAAAAGGGGAGGCGGGGAUAAUCCUAUAAGAUAGUGUUCGUCACACAGGGUGAGUUUUGAAACCCCCAUUACUGUACAACAUCAUUGGCCAAAAAACACAUUCGAUAUGUUGUAAGACAAAAAAGCAUCUCAGACGGCAGAAGGAAAAAAAAAAAAAAAAAAAUAAUCAGAAGAAAAACAAAAGGUCUUUCCACGAAAAGUGGAAAGACCUAAUUAGCAGUAAUUAAAAUAUCAAAACUCUUCAAUCCUAUAUAAUAUUUUCACUGAUCAUGUUGAUAUUGAGAUCUGAAUUAUUUUAUUGAUUACCUGUCAAAAGUUGACUUGAUUGUUUUCUUGCUUCACACCCAUUCUAAAUUCUUAACUACCCCUUUUGAAUACUCAUGCAGGAUGUCCAACCUUUACUUUGAAUAUUCAAUUAUGAAUAAAAAGAUAUAAAAAUAAAAUAAAAUAAACGUCUUGAAUAAACGAAAAUGAAGAAAAAACGACAUUUGAAAUCUAAAAAUAAAUAAAUCCAAAAACUGUCCACAGUUAUGUAUAAUCUGCACCCAUCUUAAAUUCUCAAUAACAAUCACUUUCAUCAGUAUUAACUGAAAUAACUAUAACAUAGUACCUGGUAUUGCAAGUUUCAUACAUCAUUGAUCAAAAUCAAAUUUGUCACCUCAUAAAAAAACUAUAUCAGGAUGAUUGGGUUGGUCAGAAAUAACCAGACUGGACUGUCUGAAUUUCAAGCCUUGCAAAACACAUAAAACCUUGAUUAACCAUUACAGUCCCUACCUAAUUUUGAUUUAAAUAACUUUGGAUAAAGAUAAGAUUUAUUUUAUUAAAAUGUCACCAUCCAUUACAAUAUCUAUAUAUAUAUAUACACAUAAAGUCAUAAGAACCUAACAUUUAAGUAAAAGAAUGCCAGCCGAAAACGACUUAUGAGAC